rnacentral:rRNA from 1 species
GGAAUCUUGGACAAUGGGGGCAACCCUGAUCCAGCCAUGCCGCGUGAGUGACGAAGGCCCUAGGGUUGUAAAACUCUUUCGCGCGCGACGAUAAUGACGGUAGCGCGAGAAGAAGCUCCGGAUACCUUCGUGCCAGCAGCCGCGGUAAUACGAAGGGGGCUAGCGUUGUUCGGAAUUACUGGGCGUAAAGCGCGCGCAGGCGGUCUUUCAAGUCAGGGGUGAAAGCCCAGAGCUCAACUCUGGAAUUGCCUUUGAGACUGGAAGACUUGAGUACGGGAGAGGUGAGUGGAAUUCCGAGUGUAGAGGUGAAAUUCGUAGAUAUUCGGAAGAACACCGGUGGCGAAGGCGGCUCACUGGCCCGUUACCGACGCUCAGGCGCGACAGCGUGGGGAGCAAAC